rnacentral:rRNA from 1 species
ACUCCUACGGGAGGCAGCAGUGGGGAAUAUUGCACAAUGGGGGAAACCCUGAUGCAGCCAUGCCGCGUGUGUGAAGAAGGCCUUCGGGUUGUAAAGCACUUUCAGUAGGGAGGAAGGUAGUGUAGUUAACACCUGCAUUAUUUGACGUUACCUACAGAAGAAGCACCGGCUAACUCCGUGCCAGCAGCCGCGGUAAUACGGAGGGUGCGAGCGUUAAUCGGAAUUACUGGGCGUAAAGCGCAUGCAGGUGGUUUGUUAAGUCAGAUGUGAAAGCCCGGGGCUCAACCUCGGAAUUGCAUUUGAAACUGGCAGACUAGAGUACUGUAGAGGGGGGUAGAAUUUCAGGUGUAGCGGUGAAAUGCGUAGAGAUCUGAAGGAAUACCGGUGGCGAAGGCGGCCCCCUGGACAGAUACUGACACUCAGAUGCGAAAAGCGUGGGGAGCAAAACAGGAUUAGAUACCCUGGUAGGAUAGCG